GACGAACGCUGGCGGCGUGCCUAAUACAUGCAAGUAGAACGCAGUUGCGAACGGGUGAGUAAUGCGUAGGUAACUGCCUCCUUGCUUGGGAUAACUAUUGGAAACGAUAUCUAAUACCGCAUACUGGGUGAUGGACCUGCGUUGUAUUGGCUAGUUGGGGAGGUAAAGGCGCACCAAGGCGACGAUAAAUAGCCGACCUGAGAGGGGGGUCGGGCACACGUGGACUGAGACACGGCCCAAACCCCUACGGGAGGCAGCAGGAGGGAGUCGUCGGCAAUGGACGGAAGUCUGACCGAGCAACGCGGCGGGAGGGAAGAAGGGUUUCGGAUCGUAAAGCGCUGUUAUUAGAGAAGCGGUAGCUAAAGAGAAAGGGACGGCUAACUACGUGCCAGCAGCCGCGGUAAUUC
rnacentral:rRNA from 1 species